rnacentral:rRNA from 1 species
UCGAAACCUGCCCAGGAGAACUACCAGCGAACAUGUUUAUACAUUGCGUGGGGAGGGGUCGCUGGCUUGCCAGUCCUUCCCCAACGCUGGGGAGCAAUCCUUCGGGGUGCCCCUGGCACAAUAACGAACCCCGGCGCGUAUACGCCAAGGAACAUAAACACGAGCGUGCCUAUCCUUGCCCGGGCAUCCGGCGCAAUGAUUUGGCACCCAAUCUAAGUCAUAAAACGACUCUCGGCAACGGAUAUCUCGGCUCUCGCAUCGAUGAAGAACGUAGCGAAAUGCGAUACUUGGUGUGAAUUGCAGAAUCCCGUGAACCAUCGAGUUUUUGAACGCAAGUUGCGCCCGAAGCCUUCUGGCCAGGGCACGCCUGCCUGGGCGUCACGCAUAGCGUCUCCCCAACCCCACCAAGUGUGGGAGGGAGAGGAUGAUGGCCUCCCAUGCCUCACCGGGCAUGGCUGGCCUAAAUAAGGAGCCCUCGGACACGAAAUGUCGCGGCGAUAGGUGGUACACAAGGCAUUUGCCUAGAAAGCAUCGCGCCGGUCAUCUCGUAGCUUAUGUGGGCUCAAUGGACCCUUACAAACCUUUGCGACCCCAGGUCAGGCGGGGUUACCCG